rnacentral:snRNA from 1 species
ACAGAAGAAGGAACAAAAUAA